AGACUCAAUCCCUCAGGUUUCCGAGGAGAUUGGACUUGGGUGUUGCCGCUCUACCGGCUCGCCUUAAAAGACUUAGCGGGAUAGCUCCGUAGUCGGCGUAAUAAGUUUCGUCGGUGAAGGUUGUGAUGACUGCUUACAAUCGCCCUCGGGCAAUUCUUGA
rnacentral:misc_RNA from 1 species